AGCAGCCGCCACGGUAAUACGUAGAGGGCAAGCGUUAUCCGGAAUUACUGGGUGUAAAGGAGCGUAGACGGUUAAACAAGUCUGAAGUGAAAUGCCGGGGCUCAACCCCGGAGCUGCUUUGGGAACUGUAGAACUGGAGUGUCGGAGGGGUAAGCGGAAUUCCCAGUGUAGCGGUGAAAUGCGUAGAUAUUGGGAGGAACACCGGCGGCGAAGGCGGCUUACUGGACGACAACUGACGUUGAGGCUCGAAGGCGUGGGUAGCAAACAGGAUUAGAUACCCGUGUAGUCCCUGUCUCUUAUACA
rnacentral:rRNA from 1 species